rnacentral:rRNA from 1 species
AGUGAACGCUGGCGGUAGGCCUAACACAUGCAAGUCGAACGGCAGCACAGUAAGAGCUUGCUCUUACGGGUGGCGAGUGGCGGACGAGUGAGGAAUACAUCGGAAUCUACUUUUUCGUGGGGGAUAACGUAGGGAAACUUACGCUAAUACCGCAUACGACCUACGGGUGAAAGCAGGGGAUCUUCGGACCUUGCGCGAUUGAAUGAGCCGAUGUCGGAUUAGCUAGUUGGCGGGGUAAAGGCCCACCAAGGCGACGAUCCGUAGCUGGUCUGAGAGGAUGAGCAGCCACACUGGAACUGAAACACGGUCCAGACGCCUCCGGGAGGCAGCAGUGGGGAGUAUGGGACAAUGGGCGCAAGCCUGAUCCACCCAUACCGCGUGAGUGAAGAAGGCCUUCGGGUUGUAAAGCCCUUUUGUUGGGAAAGAAAAGCAGCAGGUUAAUACCCCGCUGUUCUGACGGUACCCAAAGAAUAAGCACCGGCUAACUUCGUG